rnacentral:tRNA from 1 species
GAGAAGUAGUUCAAUGGUAGAAUAUUUCUUGGAUUGAGACUUAAAAUGUUUAUUUCCAAGAGAUGAUAUUGGUUCGAAUCCAAUCUUUCUC